CGGGACGUGGCGCAGCUUGGUGGCGCACUUGACCGGGGGUCAAGGGGUCGCAGGUUCAAUCCCGUCGUCCCGA
rnacentral:tRNA from 1 species